GGAGGGUUGAACUGAGCCUGGGUGCCGGCCGCACCCUUAACUCGCCGAGGGAACUCCGUUAGCGCUGUUUGUGUUUGAAAAAGAAGGGGUUCUGCGUUUCAGGGUUAGCGCGGUGAGAGUUCGCCGAGCGUGUGCGUCGACUUUUCAGUCUCGAAAGAUAAGGAUCUGGAAUUGGGGGGUGUGGGUUACAGCCCAGGAGAAAACCUGAGACAAGAGCAUCGCGCCUUUAACUCUUAGACCCUCGCAAGGCUGCACGGAAAGGUAGCAAGUCAUCAGAUCGCCGGGGAAAAGAGACGUUCUGCAGUUUACAGAAAUCAUUUGCUUGUACAGUGGGGCUGAGUGUCCAAGAAGGGAGUGACCGUUUCAUGAUCUACUAAAUAAAUAUACAACUAUUGA